GAUGAAGAACGUAGUGAAAUGCGAUAAGUAGUGUGAAUUGCAGAAUUCAGUGAAUCAUCGAAUCUUUGAACGCACAUUGCGCCCCUCGGUAUUCCGUGGGGCAUGCCUGUUCGAGCGUCAUCUACACCCUCAAGCUCUGCUUGGUGUUGGGCGUCUGUCCCGCCUCCGCGCGUGGACUCGCCCCAAAUUCAUUGGCAGCGGUCCUUGCCUCCUCUCGCGCAGCACAUUGCGCUUCUUGAGGGGCUCCGGUUCGCGUCCAACAAGCACAUUUACCGUCUUUGACCUCGGAUCAGGUAGGAAUACCCGCUGAACUUAAGCAUAUCAAUAAGCGGAGGA
rnacentral:misc_RNA from 1 species